CCCUUAGAUGUUCUGGGCAGCACGCGCGCUACAAUGGUCUUCGCAAACGGAUGCAUUCUCGAAGGAGAAUGCCAAUCUUGGAAUCUAUGCCUUGGUCGGGACAGUUGCUUGCAAUUUUUCGACUCGAACCAGGAAUUCCUUGUAAUCGUGAUUCAUCACAUCACGAUGAAUACGUCCCUGCCCUUUGUACACACCGCCCGUCGCACCUACCGAUCGAAGAGUUAGGUGAAUUGUUUUGAUCGAUAAGAUUUGACUAUGGUCAACUCUCGUUGUGAAAUUCUGUGAAUCUGACUGUUUAGAGGAAGGAAAAGUCGUAACA
rnacentral:rRNA from 1 species